rnacentral:rRNA from 1 species
UGGGGAAUUUUGGACAAUGGGCGAAAGCCUGAUCCAGCAAUGCCGCGUGUGUGAAGAAGGCCUUCGGGUUGUAAAGCACUUUUGUCCGGAAAGAAAUCCUUGGCUCUAAUACAGUCGGGGGAUGACGGUACCGGAAGAAUAAGCACCGGCUAACUACGUGCCAGCAGCCGCGGUAAUACGUAGGGUGCAAGCGUUAAUCGGAAUUACUGGGCGUAAAGCGUGCGCAGGCGGUUUGCUAAGACCGAUGUGAAAUCCCCGGGCUCAACCUGGGAACUGCAUUGGUGACUGGCAGGCUAGAGUAUGGCAGAGGGGGGUAGAAUUCCACGUGUAGCAGUGAAAUGCGUAGAGAUGUGGAGGAAUACCGAUGGCGAAGGCAGCCCCCUGGGCCAAUACUGACGCUCAUGCACGAAAGCGUGGGGAGCAAACAGGAUUAGAUACCCUGGUAGUCCAGCGCCCUAAACGAUGUCAACUAGUUGUUGGGGAUUCAUUUCCUUAGUAACGUAGCUAACGCGUGAAGUUGACCGCCUGGGGAGUACGGUCGCAAGAUUAAAACUCAAAGGAAUUGACGGGGUCAUAGCUGUUUCCU